rnacentral:rRNA from 1 species
UACGUGGGGGGCGAGCGUUGUUCGGGAUUACUGGGCGUAAAGCGCGUGUAGGCGGCCUAUUAUGUCAGGUGUGAAAGCCCUCGGCCUAACCGAGGAAGUGCGCCUGAAACUGGUAGGCUUGAGUACGAGAGAGGAGGACGGAAUUACCAGUGUAGAGGUGAAAUUCGUAGAUAUUGGGAGGAACACCGGCGGCGACAGCGGUUCUCUGGAUCGAUACUGACGCUUGGGCGAGAAAGCCUGGGGAGUAAACAGG